AUUGAACGCUGGCGGAAUGCUUUACACAUGCAAGUCGAACGGUAGAGGGGGCAACCCCUUGAGAGUGGCGAACGGGUGAGUAAUAUAUCGGAACGUGCCCAGUCGUGGGGGAUAACGUAGUGAAAAUUACGCUAAUACCGCAUACGAUCUAAGGAUGAAAGCGGGGGAUCGCAAGACCUCGCGCGAUUGGAGCGGCCGAUAUCAGAUUAGGUAGUUGGUAGGGUAAAGGCCUACCAAGCCAACGAUCUGUAGCUGGUCUGAGAGGACGACCAGCCACCCUGGAACUGAGACACGGUCCAGACUCCUACGGGAGGCAGCAGUGGGGAAUUUUGGACAAUGGGCGAAAGCCUGAUCCAGCCAUUCCGCGUGCAGGAUGAAGGCCCUCGGGUUGUAAACUGCUUUUGUCAGGGAAGAAACAGCAGCUCUAACACAGUCUGCGAAUGACGGUACCUGAAGAAUAAGCACCGGCUAACUGCGUGCCAGCAGCCGCCGUAA
rnacentral:rRNA from 1 species